GUUUUCACUUUGGGUUGCUUUAUAUUUUUUAGGCUAUUUAUUAAACUAAUCCACGUUCUGAACUGUUAUUGCUACUGGAAACCAGUCGCGAUCCAGACGCCAAAAGAGGAUUCUUGGAUCUUGCACAAGAAAGGACACAGUGAAGGAGUGAGAUGUGAAGGUGCUCUGUCAUUGCCUCAGUCAAGGCUUUCAUGGUACACUGGAAGAAAGAGAAGCGUGAACAAAUUGUGUGAUACUUGAGGUCAUGCUGUGUACCUGUAUUGAACAAGAAUAAGGGAAGAAAGCUGGGAACCUGGAUCUCCCAUAUAUUGGAAGUUUUGUAAAAACCUUGAGGGUCCCUUCCACUGCAUAUGGGGAUUAUGGGAACUGCAAUUCAAGAUGAGGUUUGAGUGAGGACACAGCCAAACCACAUGGAAGAUCUGGCAAGAGUUAGCAUGCAGUUCUACAUUGUGACGAUCCAUGAGAGCUAAGGACUGGCUGUCUCUUGGGACAAAUAGGCUUUCUUG